GCGCCCUUUUCACCUGCGCCCUGCACACACUGUUUGCGAAUGGAUGCCAGGAACAGUCCACUGCGCCAGCCGUACAAGAGGGUGAAGCUCCAAACUUUGCACAGCAAAGUCACUGUGUUUCGAAGCGGGCUCAUCGGCACCUUUGUCUAAUGUGCCACGGCAGGUUGAGACAAGCAAAGCUGGAUAGUUGGAAAUCUAAGGGUGGAGCCGCUUGACAAAUUAGCUGUGCCGUGUUCAAUGCUCAAUUCCCAAGCUUUGUUUGCGACACCUGAUUGGGGGAUGUGCAGGGCAAAGAUGUCCCGUUGACUCGCACGGACAAUAUCGUUGAAAUUCUCAGCUGUUGCCGAGGAAUCGGACUCC
rnacentral:lncRNA from 1 species